rnacentral:rRNA from 1 species
GACGAACGCUGGCGGCGUGCUUAACACAUGCAAGUCGAACGAUGAACCCGGAGCUUGCUCUGGGGGAUUAGUGGCGAACGGGUGAGUAACACGUGAGUAACCUGCCCUGGACUCUGGGAUAAGCGUUGGAAACGACGUCUAAUACCGGAUAGGACCUUGGAUCGCAUGAUCUGGGGUGGAAAGUUUUUUCGGUCUGGGAUGGACUCGCGGCCUAUCAGCUUGUUGGUGAGGUAAUGGCUCACCAAGGCGUCGACGGGUAGCCGGCCUGAGAGGGUGACCGGCCACACUGGGACUGAGACACGGCCCAGACUCCUACGGGAGGCAGCAGUGGGGAAUAUUGCACAAUGGGCGAAAGCCUGAUGCAGCAACGCCGCGUGCGGGAUGACGGCCGUCGGGUUGUAAACCGCUUUUAGUAGGGAAGAAGGGCUUCGGCUUGACGGUACCUGCAGAAAAAGAACCGGCUAACUACGUG